rnacentral:rRNA from 1 species
CGGAUCGCAGGCUGCAACCCGCCUGCGUGAAGUUGGAAUCGCUAGUAAUCGCGGAUCAGCAUGCCGCGGUGAAUACGUUCCCGGGCCUUGUACACACCGCCCGUCACACCAUGAGAGUCGGGAACACCCGAAGUCCGUAGCCUAACCGCGAAGGGGGGCGCGGCCGAAGGUGGGUUCGAUAAUUGGGGUGAAGUCGUAACAAGGUAAC